ACAAUUCGUUUAUCUCUGUUAAUUUUUUGUUUUAUCUUGCAAACAAUAGCUAUUUGUGCCAUUUUUUUACCCGGAAAUCCUUCUCUUCUCCUGUUAAUUUUUCAUUUGGAAAUCACAACUACUCACAAAUUGCGACCACCGCUGCAAUCUCCCGCAAAACCUAAAAUGCGACCACCGAUCUCAAGGUUGUACCCUCGCCGCAUGCGACGCUCCAACUCCGAAUUUUGAGACUUCCUUUGAUAAUGUUCCAAGACAUGGUUUUGUUAGGAUAUGAAGCUAGGAGAGCCUCUCCACUCAAGUAGACUUCCUCUACGUGCAUUUUAAGAGAGAACUUUUGGACCUUAUGCAAUCAGAAAAGGUUUGGGAUUUCUGAUAGUUGUACCUAUAUGCUUGCUGCAUGUUUCGAUGCUUCAGUAAAUGAGAUUAAAGCCACCCAAGACCUAAUCAAGGGAAAGGAGAUUGGUUUGGAGGAGCUGGCACGAAGAGAAAAUCAAAGCCAAAUUCAAAAGUAUUUUAAUAAAUGUCCUCCCACGUAUUCUCAAAAACUGAUUGACGAGCUAAGGGAUAGGUGGAUCUCAUAUGUUACCGGAUAUCACCAGCCAACUAACGAUGAAGAUGAUGAUAUGGGUUAACAAACUAUUUUUGUACUUUCUUUUUUUUGACAUUAGAUAGGUAUUUAAUUUUCUUUUGGUUGUACUAUACCUUAUAUAGAUCAUUUUGUCAAUGAAUGAUAAGAUUUUACUAUUGAAUGAAAGGAUUUGGACAUAAUUUUUUUUUAUACUUCGUAUAUGAAAUAUGUUGCCUUUUGGUA